rnacentral:rRNA from 1 species
GACGAACGCUGGCGGCGUGCUUAACACAUGCAAGUCGAACGGGAUUUAGUAAACAGAAGCCUCGGUGGAAGAUUACUAAUGAGAGUGGCGAACGGGUGAGUAACGCGUGAGCAACCUGCCUAUGACAGUGGGAUAGCCUCGGGAAACCGGGAUUAAUACCGCAUAAAAUCGUAGAAACACAUGUUUUAACGGUCAAAGAUUUAUCGGUCAUAGAUGGGCUCGCGUCUGAUUAGCUAGUUGGUGAGAUAACAGCCCACCAAGGCGACGAUCAGUAGCCGGUCUGAGAGGAUGAACGGCCACAUUGGAACUGAGACACGGUCCAAACUCCUACGGGAGGCAGCAGUGGGGAAUAUUGCACAAUGGGGGAAACCCUGAUGCAGCGACGCAGCGUGAACGAAGAAGGUAUUCGUAUCGUAAAGUUCUGUCCUAUGGGAAGAUAAUGACAGUACCAUAGAAGAAAGCUCCGGCUAAAUACGUG